AGUUGGAGUUGGAGUUUAGAGGGUUUGCUUGAAGAUGAUCUUGGGGAAAUCCUUGGUACCAUCCUUCCAGCUAUUAGGAAAAAAUCCCCACAAAUGAACUCUUGCAUCAUCUCCAGGAAACUCAUAAAUAAAGUAGCUGCUUCCUUCAAGUUCACAGUAUUAGACUUGGUAAUACCACCGUUGUGAUGAACUUGGAUAUAAACAUUUCUAACUACAAUUCUAUUACAAAGGUUAUUGCUGUUUCUUUAUAGAGGUAGAUAACUGCCAAGUUGAAGUUAAAAUGGAAUGAAAUGCUUUAGUUUGUCAUAAACUAUUCUCUAUCAUCUCUGAAAUAAAAUAAACCAUCAUUUAGAAUUAAACAUGUCAUAGUAGGUGUCUCAACUAGAGUAAUUCUUUGGUUAGAAAAGAUCUCAUAAUCAGGGGUAGAACAAAAUAAAGAUAUCCCGUCUACAUUGCAACUUUCCUUGUAAUAGUUUUGAUGUAUUGCAGGACAGCAUAAGAAAGUAAUUGAAUUUCUUUUAGAGUUUUGUAGAAGCCACAGAUGAUAAGUGAAGGCCAUCAGACGACAUAGAAAAAAACAUUAACUCAGAAAUGGAUACAAUAUUUGGGUAGUAUUCUCUCACAUCAGUGUAUUUUAUCUUUUAAUAACAUAAAUAUAUUCAAUUUAAAGAAAUUAAAAUAAAUAAAAAGUUAGUUUGUGAAAAGAACACGAAAGCCAGCAAAGAUUGGAAAUGUAGAGAUAGUUUAACAUUGACCUACAUAUAUAGUUUAUAACCAAAAACUUAGCCUCAAUUUUAAAAUAAGGUAUUUAUUAUAUGGUGUUUAUAAAAGAGAAAGAAAAAGUUCAGACUUCUCUGGUGUGGAGGGAGGGGCAAAAAAUUUUAUGUAGACAUUCUAUAUCAGGGCUGCUGAGCCCCUAACCCAAGUGAUGUGGAAGGAUAUUUUGCUCCCUUGAAAUGCUUCAUUAAAGUAUGUGUGGAGAAAUAAGCAUGAAAUGUGACAUUUCAACUUUCAAAGGCAAAUUUAGUUGCUAGAGGCAGGGGGACUAUGUGGCAUUAUUCUACAGAGAAAAUAUUAGAAACCCUGGGACAUCUCAACGUCACUGCUGGUGAGGAUUAGACUGAGUCAAAAAGCUCAUCUGAAGUAGAGCUAUCAAGGACAAGGGUACAACACACUGCCUAAUAGCUGUCUAUUUUGACUAAUUAUGCUUUCUUAAUACAUUUUUUAAAUUUUAUUUUUAGAAAAUGUAGAAACAAUUUUUGACAAUUGUUUUUUUGGCAUUUUAAAAUUCAGACUUUUCUCCCACUCUUUCUCUUCCACCUCCCUGAGGCAGUCCCACCUAAACUCUGAGCUCUUGCUUUACCUUGGUUGUGGAAUUUUGUCUUUGUUUCAGAAUAUUAUAAAGUAUAUGAAGACCUUUCUAGAGAAAGGAGAGUUUCAAUCAUUAGUAGACUUGACUGCUGAUAAUAGUUUAGACCUUCACAGUUGAUCAUUUUAUAAUAUUUCUAUUACUGUACACAUCAUUCUCCUAGUUCUCUUCAUCUCCUUUUGCAUCAGUUCAUAUAAGUCUUUCCAGAUUUUUCUGAACUCAUCCUAUUGAUUGUUCUUUAUGGCACAGUAGUAUUCCAUUGUAACCAUAUACUCCAACUUAUUUAGUCACUCCCCAAAUGAUAGACAACCCUUCAGUUUCGAAUUCUUUGUCACUACAAGAAGAAUGGCUAAAAUAUUUUGUUACAGUUAGAUCCUUUCCCUCUUAUCUCUCAUCUCUAUGGGAUACAGACCCAGUGGAAGUAUUACUGAGUCAAGGUGUAUGCAUAGUUUUGUUGCCCUUUAAGCCUGGUUCCAUGUUGCUCUCCAAAAUGGUUAUGUUGGUUCACAACUCUGCCAAUAGAGUAUUAGUGUCUCAAUUUUCCCACAUUCCCUCCAACAUAUAUCAUUUUCCUUUUUGGUCCUAUUAGCCAAUCUGAUAGGUAUG